rnacentral:sRNA from 2 species
CAAUCAUGCCUGAGGGAAUGAUCGAGCUGAUUAAAAGCGAUUCGGAUAAGGGACUUGACGACCUUCUCUAGGUCAGAAUGGAUGGAGAUGAUUUUACAGAGGAUUGAGAAUAUAAGAAUUUAAAAUACUUGUCAUACUUCCCCGUUCCUAGUAUAGCUUAGCGCACUUCAAAGCUGAAGGAGUUGUGAUCAUGUGACAUUUCUGGAGAUUGAGUAUAUCACUCUCCUCUCCUGUGGCGUAGAUACUAUUUGCUUCAACUUCUAGUUUUUUCCGUGCCCGCCGCUCGUGAAUUGUACAUUGCUUAUUUAGAUAGCGGCGUUUGCUAAUAUUACCAACUGUCCAAUUUCCCAAGCGUGCCCUCCACUACUAUUUCGAUUCUAUUGGCGUUCCCGAACAGCCUCCUGACUCCAUAAAGUUCAGUACAUGAGGUUUUGAUGCGCUCGGUGAGGUGAGGGCGGCGUGGGACCUAUUUCCACCUUGGGAUCACCUCUUGUUGAGGCCAUACCGGCAUGGGUUUCUCUGAAGCUCGAGCCUACCGGGCAUUUGGUGCCCGGUCGACGUGGCUCACAGUCUUCCUCGCGCUGGCGAACUCACUCGCUGUCAGCGCGAAAUGUGCGGCUGAUUAUUUUGUUGAUUCACUUCCAGGCCGGCCUGAUAGCCCACAGGUGCAAAUGCAUGCUGGCCACAUCGAAAUAAACCAUAAAACUAGCGCAAACCUCUUCUUCUGGCAUGUUGCCAACCAGCACAUUGCUGAUAAACCGCGAACCGUAAUAUGGCUGAACGGUGGACCUGGCUGCAGUUCCGAAGACGGAGCGCUGAUGGAAAUUGGUCCCUACAGGGUUACGAAUGAUCAUAUGCUAAAUUAUACCGAUGGCUCUUGGGACGAAUUUGCCAAUUUGCUAUUUGUAGAUCAGCCGGUGGGCACAGGUUUUAGUUAUGUUAGCACGGGGGCCUAUGUCAGUGAGCUCGGUGAGAUGGCCUCGCAGUUCGUAACUUUCUUAGAAAAAUGGUUUGAGCUGUUCCCCCAUUACGAGAAAAAUGAUCUUUAUUUCGCCGGAGAAUCAUAUGCAGGACAAUACAUUCCUUAUAUCGCCCGCGCAAUUCUCGAUCGGAAUAAGAAGGGAGAAUCGCUGACACGAUGGAAACUCAAAGGGCUCCUCAUUGGCAAUGGCUGGAUAUCACCUCGUCACCAGUAUCUAUCUUACCUACCCUACGCUUAUCAGGAAGGAAUAAUCCAAGGUGGCACCGAUGCAUCAAGCCGCGUUGAGGCGAAAUUAUCAAAAUGCUUGAAGAAAUUGAACGUCGAAGACAGCACGGGGACUGUGCAGAUUUCCGCCUGU